CCUGGCUCAGACGAACGCUGGUGGCGUGCUAUACAUGCAAGUCGAGCGGUCCGCAAGGAUAGCGGCGAACGGGUGAGUAACGCGUAAGCAAGUCUGCCCCGCAGUAUUGGGACUAGCCGUGCCAACGCGCGGAUAAUACCGAAUAACGUGGCCCCGGACAUCCGGGGUUGACGAAAGAUUCAUCGAUGCGGGAUGAGCUUGCGUCCGAUUAGCUAGUUGGCGGGGCAACGGCCCACCAAGGCGACGAUCGGUAGCCGGCCUGAGAGGGUGAUCGGCCACAUUGGGACUGAGAUACGGCCCAGACUCCUACGGGAGGCAGCAGUAGGGAAUAUUGCACAAUGAGGGAAACCCUGAUGCAGCAACGCCACGUGUGGGAAGAAGCAUUUCGGUGUGUAAACCACUGUCGUGAGGGAAUAAUACGCGUCUUCGGGCGCGGGAGAAUGUACCUCGAAAGGAAGCACCGGCAAACUUCGUGCCAGCCGCAGC
rnacentral:rRNA from 1 species